rnacentral:rRNA from 1 species
UACGUAGGGUGCGAGCGUUGUCCGGAAUUAUUGGGCGUAAAGAGCUCGUAGGCGGUUUGUCGCGUCGGCCGUGAAAACUUGGGGCUUAACCCUGAGCUUGCGGUCGAUACGGGCAUGACUGGAGUUCGGUAGGGGAGACUGGAAUUCCUGGUGUAGCGGUGAAAUGCGCAGAUAUCAGGAGGAACACCGAUGGCGAAGGCAGGUCUCUGGGCCGAUACUGACGCUGAGGAGCGAAAGCGUGGGGAGCGAACAGG